rnacentral:rRNA from 1 species
UACAUAGGCCCCGAGCGUUAUGCGGAAUCACUGGGCUUCAAGCGUGCGUAGGCGGUUGCUUAAGUUUCUUGUGAAAUCCCACGGCUUAACCGUGGAAUUGCUGGGUAUACUGGGUGUCUUGAGCCACUCAGGGGCUACCGGAACAAAUGGUGGAGCGGUGAAAUGCGUAGAUAUCAUUUGGAACGCCAAUGGUGAAAACAGGUAGCUGGGGGUGAGCUGACACUGAGACACGAAAGCCAGGGGAGCAAACGGG